GCAGCCGCGGUAAUACGUAGGGGGCAAGCGUUAUCCGGAUUUACUGGGUGUAAAGGGAGCGUAGACGGCUUUGCAAGUCUGACGUGAAAAUCCGGGGCUCAACCCCGGAACUGCGUUGGAAACUGUGAGGCUUGAGUGCCGGAGAGGUAAGCGGAAUUCCUAGUGUAGCGGUGAAAUGCGUAGAUAUUAGGAGGAACACCAGUGGCGAAGGCGGCUUACUGGACGGCAACUGACGUUGAGGCUCGAAAGCGUGGGGAGCAAACAGGAUUAGAUACCCC
rnacentral:rRNA from 1 species